rnacentral:rRNA from 1 species
GUGAGGAAUUUUGCGCAAUGGCCGCAAGGCUGACGCAGCAACGCCGCGUGGGUGAAGAAGGCCUUCGGGUCGUAAAGCCCUGUCAGGUGGGAAGAAAGGUCUUGAGAAGAAACGCUUGGGAUUUGACGGUACCACCAGAGGAAGCACCGGCUAACUCCGUGCCAGCAGCCGCGGUAAUACGGAGGGUGCGAGCGUUAUUCGGAAUUAUUGGGCGUAAAGCGCGUGUAGGCGGGGGAGCAAGUCUGAUGUGAAAGCCCCGGGCUUAACCUGGGAAGUGCAUUGGAAACUGUUUUUCUUGAGUACUGGAGAGGAAGGGGGAAUUCCCGGUGUAGAGGUGAAAUUCGUAGAGAUCGGGAGGAAUACCAGUGGCGUAGGCGCCUUUCUGGACGGUUACUGACGCUGAGACGCGAAAGCGUGGGGAGCAAACAGGAUUAGAAACCCGAGUAGUCC